CCUACGGGUGGCUGCAGUGGGGAAUAUUGCACAAUGGGGGAAACCCUGAUGCAGCGACGCCGCGUGAGUGAAGAAGUAUUUCGGUAUGUAAAGCUCUAUCAGCAGGGACGAUAAUGACGGUACCUGACUAAGAAGCCCCGGCUAACUACGUGCCAGCAGCCGCGGUAAUACGUAGGGGGCAAGCGUUAUCCGGAUUUACUGGGUGUAAAGGGAGCGUAGGUGGUUUAAUAAGUCAGAUGUGAAAGCCCGGGGCUCAACUCCGGGACUGCAUUUGAAACUAUUAGACUAGAGUGCAGGAGAGGUAAGUGGAAUUCCUAGUGUAGCGGUGAAAUGCGUAGAUAUUAGGAGGAACACCAGUGGCGAAGGCGGCUUACUGGACUGUAACUGACACUGAGGCUCGAAAGCGUGGGGAGCAAACAGGAUUAGAUACCCUAGUAGUC
rnacentral:rRNA from 1 species